rnacentral:rRNA from 1 species
AGCGAACGCUGGCGGCAGGCCUAACACAUGCAAGUCGAACGGCAGCACGGGUGCUUGCACCUGGUGGCGAGUGGCGAACGGGUGAGUAAUAUAUCGGAACGUACCUUAUUGUGGGGGAUAACGCAGCGAAAGCUGUGCUAAUACCGCAUAAUCCCUAAGGGGGAAAGCGGGGGACCGUAAGGCCUCGCGCAAUUAGAGCGGCCGAUACCUGAUUAGCUAGUUGGUGAGGUAAAGGCUCACCAAGGCAACGAUCAGUAGCUGGUCUGAGAGGACGAUCAGCCACACUGGGACUGAGACACGGCCCAGACUCCUACGGGAGGCAGCAGUGGGGAAUUUUGGACAAUGGGGGCAACCCUGAUCCAGCAAUGCCGCGUGAGUGAAGAAGGCCUUCGGGUUGUAAAGCUCUUUUGUCAGGGAAGAAACAGCAGCUCUAACACAGUUUGCGAAUGACGGUACCUGAAGAAUAAGCACCGGCUAACUACGUGCCAGCCGCCGCAGUAA